rnacentral:lncRNA from 1 species
UAUUGGAAGACUCCACCUCAAACUGAGUUUCCACCAAAGUAUACCCACCAUGAUCUUCACCUUGUAACACGCAAGACCUCUUCAACUCCUCUGAAACAUACUUCAAGCUAUUGUUAGUCUCCAACAAUUCUAGUUCAGUUCAACACCUAGUAAACCUUGUUCACUAGUCCAACUAAACACAUGUCACUAACAGGUCCACCCGAAGUCCCAAAACUCAAUCACAUUAUGAGAAUCACCACUAGUUAUAGAUGCAUGACCAACUAUCUUUGCAUCUAAGUUCAGAAACAUACCUCACAUCGUGUAAAGAAACUCACGAUUGUCAAACUUCGUAAGACAAACUGAACCCAUACNNN